GACGAACGCUGGCGGCGUGCUUAACACAUGCAAGUCGAACGGAAAGGCCCUGCUUUUGUGGGGUGCUCGAGUGGCGAACGGGUGAGUAACACGUGAGUAACCUGCCCUUGACUUUGGGAUAACUUCAGGAAACUGGGGCUAAUACCGGAUAGGAGCUCCUACUGCAUGGUGGGGGUUGGAAAGUUUCGGCGGUUGGGGAUGGACUCGCGGCUUAUCAGCUUGUUGGUGGGGUAGUGGCUUACCAAGGUUUUGACGGGUAGCCGGCCUGAGAGGGUGACCGGCCACAUUGGGACUGGGAUACCGCCCAGACUCCUACGGGAGGAAGCAGUGGGGAAUAUUGCACAAUGGGCGGAAGCCUGAUGCAGCAACGCCGCGUGCGGGAGGACGGCCUUCGGGUUGUAAACCGCUUUCGCCUGUGACGAAGCGUGAGUGACGGUAAUGGGUAAAGAAGCACCGGCUAACUACGUG
rnacentral:rRNA from 1 species